rnacentral:lncRNA from 1 species
UCUUUCAGUCAGCUGAGCUCAGUACUGCUGCUGCUUCUCUAAGCCCCACCCACACACAGAGCGAGGCGCGAUGAUAGGAUAAGACAGGCAAGCACGGAGAUAGUCCCGCCCUAAGGAACAGUGAACUUACUCUUCAGCCAAUCAAACGGACUGAACGGGUCAUUUAGGGGGAGUGACCUCGUUCAUUUCGUUCACCAAAAAGAACUAGUUCUUUUGAUCCGUUCGUUUAUGACUGACACACCACUACUGGGGUGACUCCAUCAUUCAAACUAAGGGCUAAUUCCAAGUGUUACCCUUAGCCCUGAGCAGUGUGUCCAUAAGGUCAAUCAGGUGAUGCACCACCAAAGGAAAAACAAUAUAUAUUUUUUUUAUUUUUCCACAGUGGUCUGGUGGUUAUAACAGUUUUAGAUAAUUGCAGCUGCUAUACAUGUCACUGUCCAAUCAGCGUAAGGCAGUGCUUCACAAGGUACCACCUUGUUUCAGUAAGGCUGAAAAUCGCCCCGACUGCUCCCAUUGACUUUAAUGCUUGUUUGUUUUUUCCCCCCAGAUAUCUGGCAUUACUUGAGCUUGUGUCUUCUUUUAAGUACCUGGGGUUUUUACUGGAUGACAACUUGUCUUUUAAAGAACAUAUUAAGCAUGUUGUUAGAAAGCUGAAAGUUUUACUAGGCUUUUACCACAGAAACAAGUCCUGUUUCUCUUUUAAUGUUAAAAAGAGACUUGUGGGUCUACAUUCUUACCUCUUCUUGAUUAUGGUGAUGUUUUAUAUAUGAAUGCCAUUGCAAAUGUUGGGCAGACCUCAGAGCUCUAAGGUUUAUAACAAACUGUGGAUUUUUAACGUAUCGCUGUACUUUAUACUCCAAAGUCAGUUGGACUUCUUCAAGUACAUCGUCAGCUUGGUCAUUCGUACGUUUUUAUUUACAAAGGCAUUCUUGGAAGAAUUCCAGACUACCUCUCCUCCUUAUUGAUAGGCCCAAAAAUGGAAUCAGGCAUCCAACAACCCCCAAUAAGGGGUUACAUGGACGACCUUACGGUGACGACCACAACCCAUGUGGAGGUGAGAUGGGUGCUAACAGUUCUGGACCAAAUGGCAACGUGGGCCAGAAUGAAGUUUAGGCCAAAUAAAUCGAAAGUUACGUAUGUAACUACGGUUCUAUGAAUCCCGAAUGACCGCCAGAGGCGGUGCUUAAAGCACUGAAUAUUCCCUUCGCGCAUGCGUAGUUCGAGUACUUAUACCAAAAUGGUCACGUGUGACCCCUGAUCCUCCGGGAAAGUCUAUAACUUCCGGAGGCCAUCAGGGGGUCUGUCCCUACAGAAUCUUCUCGUGAGAGCCCGAGGAUUCUGAGUGACAUGAGCUCUGGCGGUCAUUCGGGAUUCAUAGAACCGUAGUUACAUACGUAACUUUCGUUCUAUUUCAUCCCUGCUGACCGCCAGAGGCGGCGCUUAAAGCACUGAAUGACUAAUACCAGCAAAGUCACGAGGAAUCCCGUCACAAACCUCAGAGGGUAGAAUCAGACGACUCCGGGAGAAGGACCACACCCAAUGGAUGGGAGGCUUGAAAGGGGGCUUACUUAGGGCAUCCAAUACAAUGUUAAGAUCCCACGCCGGAAC